GAGGAAAAGAAUCUUGAAUUUGACCUAGCGUUUAUGGCUGGUCGACACAACAGACGCUCAUCAGAAGACCACAGUGGGCGGUUUGGGAUAUACAUCUUGAUCAUUGAAUUAAGAUAACAGGGAGCAGAUCUAGUCAGUGUCCUAAAGGCCAAAAUGAGAGAUUUUG